rnacentral:rRNA from 1 species
UACGGGGGGGGCAAGCGUUGUUCGGAAUUACUGGGCGUAAAGGGCUCGUAGGCGGUCUGCUACGUCCGCCGUGAAAUCCCUCGGCUUAACCGGGGAACUGCGUCUGAUACUGGAUGGCUUGAGGGUGGGAGAGGGAUGCGGAAUUCCAGGUGUAGCGGUGAAAUGCGUAGAUAUCAGGAGGAACACCGAUGGCGAAGGCAGUUCUCUGGGCCGUAACUGACGCUGAGACGCGAAAGCGUGGGGAGCAAACAGG